GUCUUUCCCCUGACCUCGCCUUGAGUAGGGCUCUUUGAGAUUGGACAGAAGUACAGCCAUCCAGCCCAGAACACAAGAAAAGAGCUGAUAAGCCUACUUUUCCUCAACAAACACCUGUGAUGAGAAAAUUGAGGCAAGAGAAUAGGUGGCCAAAAAUACCCUCAUAGACUUGAGAAAGUCCAUCUUGAUGCUAUCCAGUGAAACUUAAUGGCAACCCAGGAGCCAGGCAGCCUGCUUUAUUUUGGAAAUGAAAAUGUCAGUAUAGUAUAGUUGAUGAGAGUUUGAAGAGAAAAGAUGCAGCAAAGUAGAACACUAACACCAAUUCCAAACAAUUACCAAGAAUCUUACUAAAGUUACUACAAAUCAAAA